rnacentral:rRNA from 1 species
UACGUAGGGUGCGAGCGUUGUCCGGAAUUAUUGGGCGUAAAGAGCUUGUAGGCGGUUUGUCGCGUCUGCCGUGAAAAUCCGGGGCUCAACCCCGGACUUGCAGUGGGUACGGGCAGACUGGAGUGUGGUAGGGGAGACUGGAAUUCCUGGUGUAGCGGUGGAAUGCGCAGAUAUCAGGAGGAACACCGAUGGCGAAGGCAGAUCUCUGGGCCGUAACUGACGCUGAGGAGCGAAAGCAUGGGGAGCGAACAGG